UCAUGGACGAAAGUGUGGGGAGUGAACAGGAUUAGAUACCAUGGUAGUCCACGCCGUACCCGAUGGGAUACUAGGUGUCGGGCGUAAGCUCAGAGGCCAAGCGAAAGUGAUAAGUAUCCCGCCUGGGGAGUACGACCGCAAGGUUGAAGCUCAAAGGAACUGACGGGGGGCCGCACAAGCGGUGGAGCAUGUGGUGUAAUUGGAUGAUACGCGAGGAACCUUACCAGGGCUUAAAUGUAGAGUGUCAGGCUGAGAGAUCGGCUUUUCUUCGGACACUUUACAAGGUGUUGCAUGGUUGUCGUCAGCUCGUGCCGUGAGGUGUCAGGUUAAGUCCUAUAACGAGCGCAACCCGUUCUGCUAGUUGCUAACAGGUUAAGAUGAGGACUCUAGUGGGACAGCCGGUGCAAACCGCGAGGAGGGUGGGGAUGAUGUCAAAUCAUCACGGCCCUUACGUCCUGGGUUCCACACGUGCUACAAUGGUAGGGACAAUGAGCAGCCACUGCGCGAGCAGGAGAGAAUCUAUAAACCCUAUCACAGUUCGGAUCGGAGUCUGCAACUAGACUCCGAGAAGCUGGAAUCGCUAGUAAUCGGAUAUCAGCCAGGAUCCGGCGAAUACGUUCCCGGGCCUUGUACACACCGCCCGUCAAGCCAUGGAAGUUGGGAGUGCCUGAAGUCGGUCACCGCAAGGAGCGGCCUAGGGUAAAACUGAUAACU
rnacentral:rRNA from 1 species